rnacentral:ribozyme from 1 species
CACCGUAUAUCCAAGCUUGGGUAAACGGGCCAGUCCCAACCCCUUGGGCGGAUGGUGGAGCACGGCUGAACAGGAGGGG